rnacentral:rRNA from 1 species
GAUCCUGGCUCAGGACGAACGCUGGCGGCGUGCCUAAUACAUGCAAGUAGAACGCUGAAGGAGGAGCUUGCUUCUCUGGAUGAGUUGCGAACGGGUGAGUAACGCGUAGGUAACCUGCCUGGUAGCGGGGGAUAACUAUUGGAAACGAUAGCUAAUACCGCAUAAUAGUAGAUGUUGCAUGACAUUUGCUUAAAAGGUGCAAUUGCAUCACUACCAGAUGGACCUGCGUUG